GUUACCUUCUACUUGAUUAGGUUUUAUUGACCAAUGAGUCCAAUAAUAUCGGGCAAAAGAAAACUUGCCUAAUAAUAAUAUCAAUAACACUUUCAUACUUUAACCCAACAAAAUAUAUAUAACUGAAAUAGAAACCGUCACAAAACUAACUUCGAGGGCAAAGCGAACAGAUUCACAAAAUUCAAAUUUAUGACGAACUCCCCAUUUGGUCACUCCCCCCAUUUGCCAUCCCAUGGGCCAAAAUCCAGAUCAUGAACCUGGCGAGGCCCAUUUGGUUCAAUCGAUAUAUUACACUAGGGUUUGCCUAUAAAUAGAACCCAACCCCUGUGCCCUCCUUUCCCACUCUCUGCGGUCGCCUGAAACUUUGCAUCGGAAGGAGGUUGGGGAUAACCUGAAAGCGGCUGUUACGGUGAAUCGCCACCAUGAGGGCUAAGUGGAAGAAGAAGCGCAUGAGGAGGUUGAAGAGGAAGCGCCGAAAAAUGAGGCAGCGGUCCAAGUAACAAUGUAAGGCCUUGGCAGCGGCAAUUUCUUCUUGUCUCGGUUUUAAUAUUGCGUUAUUAAGACUUCUCUAGGCUAUCGUCGUUUAGUGUUUUUGAUACAGUUGAUAUUUGGAUUUGUGGACCGAUUUGGCUUGAAUGAAUUUCGAAUUAUCGCUAA